rnacentral:rRNA from 1 species
AUUGAACGCUGGCGGCAGGCCUAACACAUGCAAGUCGAACGAGUGGCGGACGGGUGAGUAAUGUCCGGGAAACUUCCCGAUGGAGGGGGAUAACUACUGGAACCGGUAGCUAAUACCGCAUACCAUCGGAUGUGCCCAGAUGGGAUUAGCUAGUGGGUGGGGUAACGGCUCACCUAGGCGACGGGCCCUACCUGGUCUGAGAGGAUGACCAGCCACACGGGAACUGAGACACGGUCCAGACGCCUAAGGGAGGGCGCAGUGGGGAAUAUUGCACAAUGGGCGCGAGCCUGAUGCAGCGAUGCGGCGUGUAUGAAGAAGUCCUUCGGGUUGUAAAGUACUUUCAGCGAGGAGGCGGUACUCGCAGAAGAAGCACCGGCUAACUCCGUGCCAGCAGCCGCGGUAAUUC